CUUUACUGUAAUCUGGUAUUGGCAUUUGAUCUUCAGUGCGUAGUAUAGGUGGGAGACUUUGAAGCUCUUCUCCAGGGGAGAGCAGAGUCGUAAUGUGAAAUACCACUCUCUGAUAAUUAGAUGUCUAACUCCUUCCCAUAAUCUGGGCGGGGGACAGUGCUAGAGGGUCAGUUUGACUGGGGCGGUCUCCUCCGAAAAAGUAACGGAGGAUUGCGAUGGUUUCCUCAAGCCGGUUGGUAAUCGGCUGGAGAGCGCAUGGGUAAAAGGAAGCUUUACUGUGAGACAUACAAGUCGAGCAGUUGCGAAAGCAGGCCCAAGUGAUCCGGUAGUAGGACGUGGAACCGCUAUCGCUUAAAGGAUAAAAGGUA
rnacentral:rRNA from 1 species